GACGGGUGAGUAAUGCAUAGGAAUCUGCCCGAUAGUGGGGGAUAACCUGGGGAAACCCAGGCUAAUACCGCAUACGUCCUACGGGAGAAAGGGGGCUCCGGCUCCCGCUAUGGGAUGAGCCUAUGUCGGAUUAGCUAGUUGGUGAGGUAACGGCUCACCAAGGCGACGAUCCGUAGCUGGUCUGAGAGGAUGAUCAGCCACAUCGGGACUGAGACACGGCCCGAACUCC
rnacentral:rRNA from 1 species